UUUCCCUCAAGAUAGCUGGAAUAUGUAAUGAAGCUGUUAUAUUCGGUAAAACGAAUGAUAAGAGAAAUUGCGGGACGAAACGUCUUCAACCUAUUCUCAAACUUUCAAUGAGUAUGACGUCUUGCUUGCUUGAAUGAAGCGUAGAUAUUGGAUCUGUACUUCACGUACGUCAUUUUUGGUGAUAGAACUGACGUUGAAUGAAGGG
rfam:Onchocerca ochengi, WGS project CAWC01000000 data, contig: 01909_3028